GAUGAACGCUAGCUACAGGCUUAACACAUGCAAGUCGCGGGGCAGCAUGGGGGUUGCUUGCAAUCCCCGAUGGCGACCGGCGCACGGGUGAGUAACGCGUAUCCAACCUGCCCUUCACCACGGGAUAACCCGGCGAAAGUCGGACUAAUACCGUAUGUUGUCCAUUGACGGCAUCCGAUUUGGACGAAAGGUUUGGCGGUGAAGGAUGGGGAUGCGUCCGAUUAGCUGGACGGCGGGGUGACGGCCCACCGUGGCGACGAUCGGUAGGGGUUCUGAGAGGAAGGUCCCCCACACUGGAACUGAGACACGGUCCAGACUCCUACGGGAGGCAGCAGUGAGGAAUAUUGGUCAAUGGGCGUAAGCCUGAACCAGCCAAGUAGCGUGCAGGAUGACGGCCCUAUGGGUUGUAAACUGCUUUUAUGCGGGGAUAAAGUGGCCCACGUGUGGGUUUUUGCAGUUACCGCAUGAAUAAGGACCGGCUAAUUCCGUG
rnacentral:rRNA from 1 species